rnacentral:rRNA from 1 species
GACGAACACUGGCGGCGUGCUUAACACAUGCAAGUCGAGCGGGGACUUAAAUUGGAAGGCUUCGGCUGGAAGAUUUGAGUUCUAGCGGCGGACGGGUGAGUAACGCGUGAGCAAUCUGUCCUACACAGGGGGAUAACAGAUGGAAACAUCUGCUAAUACCGCAUAAGACCACGAAGUCGCAUGGCUUUGAGGUAAAAGAAUUAUCGGUGUAGGGUGAGCUCGCGUCUGAUUAGCUAGUUGGUGAGGUAACGGCCCACCAAGGCGACGAUCAGUAGCCGACCUGAGAGGUUGAACGGCCACAUUGGAACUGAGAAACGGUCCAGACUCCUACGGGAGGCAGCAGUGGGGAAUAUUGGGCAAUGGACGAAAGUCUGACCCAGCGACGCCGCGUGAGGGAAGAAGGUCUUCGGAUUGUAAAACCUCUGUUGAUAGGGAAGAAGAAAGUGACGGUACCUAUCGAGGAAGCCACGGCUAACUACGUG